GGUUUAGAUUUUAGGGUUUAGGGUUUAGAUUUUAGGGUUUAGGGUUUAAAGUUUAGGGUUUAGGGUUUAUGGUUUAGGGUUUAGGGUUUAGAGUUUAGGGUUUAGGGUUUAGAGUUGAGAAAUGAGGUUUUGGGGAUAAGAUUUCAAAUUUUGAAAAUAAAAAAAUUAAAAUUUUCAAAGGAUAAACUUAGAAAUGUGCUAUUUUGGUCAUUUUAAUUUUUGAGUGCUAUUUUUGUGAUAUAAACUUAGAAAGAUGCUAUUUUAGAGAUUUGCCGGUAGAUAAAGAUGAAGCAAGGUUUGAGCCGAAAUUUCUCCUAAACAAAAAUCAGAAAUUCGGC
rnacentral:lncRNA from 1 species